CACACACACACACACACACACACACACACACACACAUACAUACACACAUGUGCACACAGCACACCUCCCUGCCAUUUCAUAUGUUUGUGGAAUGAAUUUGAUACAAUAUAGAAGGAUAAAUUGAUCACCAGCGGGACCUACCGUAAAAUGUUUUCUGAAAAUUCUUUCUUAUUGCUCUAACAUCACUUUACCAUCUUGAGGGUCUAUGUCUGAGUCUGACUUGUUGUAAUUUGUAUUGACUCUCUUUCUUCAUGCUGUUGUGUCUGACCACCACUAACUUGUUAUUGGGGAUGUAGCUAUUAAACCUAUCAAUUUUGUCUUCAGACAGAGGUCAACAUCUACCAUUCUUCAGGAUGUGGCCAUCUCUUUCUUUCCCCAUCCCCAUUUUGUUUUCAGUAAGUAUCGACUCCACUUGCUGAUGUUAUUCAAGGGCAGAAAGUCAGUUGACAGAAGAGAGUAGGACAUCUAAAUACCUUUUUGUAUUUAGGCUUUUUUUUAUUUUUAUUUUGUUUCUCAUUCUACAUUCUGAAUACAAGCCCUCUGCCAGUAUCAAAUAAGCCUUUCAUUUUCUUAGUGAGGUCAAUACAAUUCCAAAACAAUCUAGUAGUACUACCAGUGUUGGUUCAAAUGACUGUGCCCCCCUCUUCCCAACAUUGGCUUGGUUGUGUCUCAUAAAAAAAACAUCAGUCAAGGAUAGCAUGAAGUAGUAAAUGGAUUGUGUGGGGUAGAGUUAUUUAGAGUAUUGUGGAAACAGGAUUGGUACGGGUGGGUGUUGGGAGGCUAUAUUGCCAGUAGUAACCUCCAGACAAAUGCAUGUUGCAUGUGCAUCUGGGAAGUGGAGGGGGUCAACAUUCUUUCUUUGUAUUGUCCUUUUAUAAUUUACCCACCACCACUACCUGUAAAAUGAUCAAGUAUUUUUGAAUUUCUGAGAGAUGGUGAAGGAAAUGUACAAUAGAGCCAGCUGUGGUAUUUAGUUUUGUCUCUACAUUCUGAGUUCAAAUCUCAUUGGAGUUAACUUUUUCAUCUUUUUGCAGGGAUCAAUAAACAAGAACCUAGUUCAAAGUCAACUGAUAAAGUCAACUUCGCCUUUCAUUCUCAUGGAAUUGAAAAAAAUAAGUCCAAUGUGUAGUAUUGUGCCAAUGUAGGGAAAUCCAUUUUUUUUUCUUAUUAUGAACACCAAGGACAACAGUCAGCAUAAGCCAUGGAAAUUGUUUAUUGGAUAUUUUGAAGAAUGUAAAUUUCAGUGCUUCAUUGUUCAAGUCAACCCAUUCUUAGCUGUGUGUGUAUUUAUAUACACACACAUGCACACUGGUUAAUUCUAGUUGCAAAAAUUCCUUUUGUACCUCAUCAAAAGGAAUUAUAAUUAUUGGCAAAUGUCUUUGUUGUAACCAGUUCAUUUCAUUUUAUCUCUAAUAUUUUAGGAAAGGCAUGCACAUCACAUUUUCUUAUUUCUCUACUCUUGUAAAUCUGAGAUUUUGUACUUAUGCAAAAUAUGUAGAAAUCUUUAUUUCUAAGGAGCAGAAUAGUUAAAAGAACAAAACUUCAGGCAAGAAGUACCACAUACUUGAGUUCAAAUCCCAUUGUCAUUGAAUUCUUUUUUUUUUUUUUUUGUAAUACUAGUAAAGUUCUAAUAACAUGCUGUUAGUGGAUUUAACUUAGCCUUAACCUGAUGCAAUGUUAAGUCCUUAGCGAUCUUAGUUUUGACUUUCUUUUGUCAUUGAAGACUACUUCACUUAGUGCAAAAUAUAGAAAAAAAUUUGAAAGACAAAUUCUAAAAACAUUUGGUUUUCAUGCCUACAAUUACACAUUACAAAUCAUCAUUACUGUCAUCAGUCUCGUUGUUAUUAUUGCAAAUGCAGUUAGAGUAGAUGUUAAAAUCUAGUGAAGUUAAUAUGGGAUUUGUUUCUUAGUCAUUGCUAUUUCAUUUCACUUAAAUUUGUAAUGCCUUAAAAAAUUGAACAUCAUACACUCUCAAUUCACCUUCUCCAUAAAGCUGAUGCUUUGGAUUCAGGUAAGGCUGCUGUUAUUUAUAAUAAUAUUUAGUACUCUGAACUGGUUACACAUUUUUUUGCCUGGUUAAAAAAACUAUUACUAAGUUGUUAUGAAUGGUGCAGUAUGGCUAGAAGUGGUAGAGUAAUGGAAUACAUUUCACUUUUAAGUUCUGUUCUUUUAUAUUUGGGGUUCAAAUCCAGAUGGAGCUUAAUAAAAAUAGAUUCAACCUUGAACUGGAGUUGAUUCAGUUGCCCACUCCUCUCCUCUAUUUGUUUGUGGCCUAGUUACCAGUCUAAGAAAUCCUCAUUAUUAUUUAAAGGAGCUUGGUUGGGGUAAUUAGUAGAUAGAACAAACUAAAUACUAUUUGGUAUUUACUUUCAUUGUUGUAGGUUCCAAUAUCAAAUUCUGCCUGUAUUGACUCUUACAUUUCAUCUCCCCAUAAACAGAAAGGUUUAUUAGUACCAAUGAUAAAUAUAUUUGGAUAAAUUCGAUUAACUUUAGCUCAGCAUCCUAUCCCCAUCUCUUCUGCAAAAUAGGUCUUGUACCUUGUCAAAAGAAAUCAUCUUUGUUUAAUAAAUAUACCAAUUAAUCUUACAGCCAUAUUCACACUUCACUGAUUCACACGGAAUUUUAAUCUCCAACCAAUCUUCCAUAUUAUGUCAAGAAUCCCUUCCUCUUUUGGUGGAUGGAGGACAUCUUCAGUUGUUCUGUUUAUUUAAAACAAUUAGCAAGAAGAUUCCAGACAAGUUCCAAUCAGUAACUGCCUAAGUAAUAACUCUUUGGACUCUGCUGAACUGGUGCUGCUGCCACCACUACCAUGACCACGAACAGCAACAAUACUACUGCAACCACCACACCACUAACGACAACAACACUUGAGCCAUUAUCUAUUUGAAUGAAAUUUAAAUAAACUGUUUGUUCAUACUAA